rnacentral:rRNA from 1 species
UACGUAUGGUGCAAGCGUUAUCCGGAUUUACUGGGUGUAAAGGGUGCGUAGGUGGCAUAUCAAGUCAGAUGUGAAAACUUAGGGCUCAACCCCGAGACUGCAUUUGAAACUGAUAAGCUGGAGUACAGGAGAGGAAAGCAGAAUUCCUAGUGUAGCGGUGAAAUGCGUAGAUAUUAGGAGGAAUACCGGUGGCGAAGGCGGCUUUCUGGACUGUUACUGACACUGAGGCACGAAAGCGUGGGGAG